GUGGGGAGAGGGAGGGCCGGGGGUCCGCGGCUCGAGGUCCCUUCCGGCCUCGCACUGAGCCGCACCCCGCCCGCAGGGCAGGGCCGCAGGCGGCGAGGGCCGCCCGGGCCUUUCCAAGAGCGAAGGGCCCGGCCCCGGAAACAGGGAGGGGCCGCGGCCAGGCCGGGCCCGCGCCGCAGGCGNNNNNNNNNNNNNNNNNNNNNNNNNNNNNNNNNNNNNNNNNNNNNNNNNNCCGCCCCGGGGGGAGCUUCGGCUUGGGCCCCCAGGGGCCCCGGGCGGACCCCGCGCCGCACUCACCGCGGGAGGGCGGCAGGAGGCAAAGACGCUUGCGAGCGAAGCUCCGAGCGCGGGGACGGCUUCCUUCCCAAGCCCACUCCUCAGGCAGCGGCGGCGGCGGCGGCUGCACAGGCGGCGGCGGCGGCAGCAGCUACCCCGGCUCCGGAAUCGGCGGCGGCGGUGGCGGCAGCGGCGGCAGCUCCACUUCCGCUCCGGUCACCACUUCCGCUCCGACCCGCGCUCCGACCCGCCCCUGCGCCGGCUCCCCAUUGGACGAGCCGGGCACGGGGUUGCCCCGGCCGCCCGAGAGGGGCGCUGACGGAGGGAGGAGGAAGGAGCGCGGAGACCCGGACGCGGCGGACUGGAGCGAGGAGGGAGCGGGCGGACGGGGGCGGAAAUGGAGGCGGCGGGCGGAAAGAGGCAGUGGGAGACGAGAGGGCGGAGCUGGGGGGGUGCGGGGGUGCUGGGAACCCGGCGGGGGAACCCGAGCCGACGCCGGGGUCAUCGCCUCCCUCCCUCCUCCAAAAGGAAUCGCCACCGGGUCGCAGGCGGAGAUCCUGGUGUUUGAGGACAUCUCUGUUGAAACACAGUGGAGCGGGAGCUAAAGGCCCAGAGACUUCAGUGACUACGUGGGGGUUUGUUUUCAUUUGUGACAGCAGCGAUAGAAAGCUAACACAGUGUACUGGUCAUUGCUAGCUCUGGCUGUUGGGGGAUGGACGUCAGCCUUAUGUCACACGUGGUUAGUGUGCUCAAUGAACACUCAUCACAAUAAAAAUAAUGAAGACCAUAAUUCA
rnacentral:lncRNA from 1 species